CACAGGCCAGCCCUGCAGGUAACUCUGUCCCUGGUCUUGCCAGACGUUCAGGAAAGCAUCUCCUGUGUCCAUUGAAGGGAGGACACGUUGCUGCGUUUGGAACUUGACCACCUGGGAAAGUCACAUCACAGUCGGAAAGCACAGGCUCCGUGGACGCAGAGGCCACUCCUCAUGCCCUACACCGUCCUCCUUUCCUGUGCCAGUGACAGCGCCACCCCCUGACCCGCCAACUCUCAGCCAGAGGAGGCUGGGGUUCAGGGAAGACCGAGCUGCAGCUCCCCAGCAAAUCCCGAGUCCCUCUCCGGCUCAGGAGGCCUGAGCUCCAGCCAUGCCCUUUCUCAAGCCCCUGUAGGAAGCACUGCCUCAUCCUCAGGCACUGCGUAG
rnacentral:lncRNA from 1 species